rnacentral:tRNA from 1 species
GCCUCAAUGGUCUAGUUGGUUAUGACAUCUGCUCAGACAGCAGAAGGUCCCGGGUUCGAAUCCCGGUUGAGGCA